GAUGAAGAACGUAGCGAAAUGCGAUACUUGGUGUGAAUUGCAGAAUCCCGUGAACCAUCGAGUCUUUGAACGCAAGUUGCGCCCGAAGCCACUAGGCCGAGGGCACGCCUGCCUGGGCGUCACACGUCGUUGCCCCCCCCCCAUCUACUCCUUCGGGAUUGCGGGGGGCGGAUGAUGGCCUCCCGUGCGCCUAGCCGCGCGGUUGGCAUAAAUACCAAGUCCUCGGCGACGCACGCCACGACAAUCGGUGGUUGCGAAACCUCGGUUGCCCGUCGUGUGCGUUCGUCGCGCAUCGAGGGCUCGAGAAAAUGCUCGGCUCCGGCUCGGCUUUCAACGCGACCCCAGGUCAGGCGGGGUUACCCGCUGAAUUUAAGCAUAUCAAUAAGCGGAGGA
rnacentral:misc_RNA from 1 species